GUGGGGAAUAUUGGGCAAUGGGCGAAAGCCUGACCCAGCAACGCCGCGUGAAGGAAGAAGGUUUUCGGAUCGUAAACUUCUAUCCUUGGUGAAGAUAAUGACGGUAGCCAAGAAGGAAGCCCCGGCUAACUACGUGCCAGCAGCCGCGGUAAUACGUAGGGGGCAAGCGUUGUCCGGAAUGAUUGGGCGUAAAGGGCGCGUAGGCGGCCCGGUAAGUCUGAAGUGAAAGUCCUGCUUUUAAGGUGGGAAUUGCUUUGGAUACCGUCGGGCUUGAGUGCAGGAGAGGUAAGCGGAAUUCCCGGUGUAGCGGUGAAAUGCGUAGAGAUCGGGAGGAACACCAGUGGCGAAGGCGGCUUACUGGACUGUAACUGACGCUGAGGCGCGAAAGUGUGGGGAGCAAACAGGAUUAGAUACCCUGGUAGUCC
rnacentral:rRNA from 1 species